AGUAGAAAAAGUACCAUCAUCUACACCAAGAAUUUUGUGAAUGAGAGAAGAAACUGUAGCAUCCAGAAAGGCUAUGGCAACACUGAGUGGAGUGCACAGGGCCCUGUGAGCAGUCAAAGCCUUUGUGAAGAGCUGAUAUGCAAGACAGAUAUGUGACAGAGAACCCCUUCCUAGGAGGUAUGUUUGUAUUUGCCUAGCCACUUGUUUUGUUUGUUGGCUGGCUUUAUGUUAUUCAUAAAGAAAUGUGAGGAAAGUAAUUAUUCCCAUUGACGACCACCAGGAUCCCAGAAGCCUGACUCAUUCAUCACUAAAGGAGAGAGCCUAAUGUAGAAAAUAUUUACAAAUAAAACUUGAUGACUUGAA